ensembl:lncRNA
CAACGUAUCCAGAGCUCAGAAUGAAUAAAAUUGUAAUUCCAGGAGUGUACUGAUCUUGCAAAUUAAUUUGACAUUCAUUGUGAUGAGUGAUCAAGGCAAGCUACUUUGCUGUUGUGCAUGCAUUCAGAGGUAUUGUCUGUCACAAUAGCUAUUUACACAGCGUUAGAAAUCUAAUGAAAUCUACCAACUUCCCAUUUUUAAACAACAGUAAAUUAUUUCCUCUUCAUUUGGAAGCGUAGGUUGAAAACAGCACCAGAUAGUUUCACCCACUCAAAUGAAUCUCAGAUUUUCUGAUAUUCACUACAACUGAUCUUCUCUGAUACUUUACAGAUAUACAAUCAGGGGUGUUUCUCUUUAAUAUUUUCACAGUAUUUAACAUUGUUCCAAGUUCAUUCUCUUUCUUUCAGGUUGCUAAACACAUUCAAUGCUCAGCUAAUCAGUAGAGCCAGAGAAUCGUAUUUCCAAGACCUUAUUUUCACAGUGGGAACAGUUGCAAAGCUGCUAGUUCCUACGGUCUGGCAUAUUUUGCAAAAUGAACAAACACAUAAAUAAAUUAUUACUUCCAAACAAGCAAAGUUUCUGAGAGGUCCCCACUGAUCGUUUCAUAGAAAUAUAGUUGCCUAAACUGCAAUUGUGUAUCUCAGGUAUAAUUCCACAGAAAAUGGUGCCAAAUGUCAGUCAUUACUCAGUAUACCAGAGAUGUCAGUAUUUGGUCAGUAACUUAGGGAUUCUUUCCAUGUGUUUUUAUGAGGAAAUCUUCAUUUACAUAAGAGAUAAUCAGUAAAUAUAAUUUAAACUCAUUAAAGAAUGGAAACACUACAGAUUUGUUCCAUUAACUUAAAUGCAUUGAGUGAUUAGAGGGCUGGAGCACUUCUGUGAAGACAAGCUGGGAUAGUGGGCCUUUCAGCCUGAAGAAGAGAAAGCUCAAAGCACCUUAUAGAGGACACCAAGUACCUAAAGGUGUCUACCAGAGAGCUGGAGAGGAAUUUUUCCCAAGGGCAUAUAGUGAUAGGACAAUGGGGAACAGUGGUAAACUGAAGGAGGGCAGGUGUAGAUUAAACAUCAGGAAGAAAUUCUUUACUCUGAGUGCCAUGAGGCACUGGAACAGGUUGGCCAGAGAAGCUGUGGACUCCUCAUCCCUGAAAUUGCUCAAGACCGAGGUGGAUGGGGCCUUGAGCAACCUGGCCUAGUUGAUGGUGCUGCUACAAAUGACAGGGGGUUACAAUUAGAUGUCCUUUAAGGUGCCUUCUAAUCCAAGGAUUAAAUUAUUUUAGCCAAGGAGAAUUCCAUGUAACUUCAUCAAGAGUUUUGCAUAAGGGCUGUAAGAGUAUGUCACUGGUUAAAACAAGAGACAUCAAGUAAAGACAAAAUGUGAGAAGUACUCGCUUCUGGUAGCAAGCAAGGUGGACCACAGUCAGUGCUACACAGCAUUCCAACUUACCUUUCCUCUUCCUAGGGGAAGUCCCAGACACUAGGGCAACACAAUGGCUUGACAUUCAGUGAUCUGAAUGUGCCAGUGAACAUGGCUGGUGAUAAUGUAGCAACUAGAUUGUCAUUAACUUAAGUCUCAUAUGUAGUUCUUCAGCUGUGAGAGCAUAAAAGACCUAUCAGUUCCUUUUCCAUGUAUGAAUUAAUCUCAGCAAAGGGGAGGAGACCCUGCUGAGUUUAUAAUAUUGAAUACUGUAAUACGUUUUUCUCUAAAACUGCAUUACAUUAACUGAGAAUAAUGCAGCCUUUAUGCUUUCAUACAUACAUUAGCUUAAUAAUCCAUUAAAGUGUCUUGUAUUUAAAGCAUACACAAAGAUCUAUAGUUUGAGUUUCAGAAGCCAUCCAAAUAUCUUACAAGUGCCAGGAGUACUCUCAACAGGAGAAAUUUAGCCUUUCAUUUAUUUUAAAUUGCUCUUUCAUUUUAUUCUAUAAAAUGCAUUUAUUUUCAAGAAGGCAGUUGAAAUCUUUAAUACUGAAUUAAGAAAUCUAAGUUAGAAAAAGCUAAAUGGGAACAUAUAUGUUGGAUAAUACCCUGCUCCUAAUCAGGUCCCAGGAAAUUAGACUAUUUUUCUUUUACUUUCUCUAGUCAAUUAAUUAGAAAAUUCUUCCCUUCCCACUGAUCAGAGUUCCAUAAGGAAAUCUGUCCCCCUUGGAAGAAACAAUAUCUACAAAGGGGCCGUGUGGUUCGGCAGAAACCUCCUGAUCUCCCAAGGAGGCUGCUGAAAUACAGAAAUGUUGUGUUUAGACCUCACCAUGGGAAUUCCCCAGCACUCACAUGACCUGUGAAUGUGACAAGAGAGUCAUCGAUUCAGCCUUGCCACUUUUGUAAAGUCCAAAUUGUUUGAAACCACAGCAGAUGCAUGCCCAGAGGAUCAAGGAAAGACAAAGUAUGGUUUCAGAGCUACAACUAUUUUCUAUUGCAGACCAACCUCCCCAUUACUUUUUUUACCUUCUCAGAAGUUUACUGCAUCUAAUUGCUUCUGUAUUAUUGGCUCAGGAACAACACCCAUAAAUCUGUGAAAUGUCUACAUGGUAUUAUCUUUGCAUAAUCUUGGCACACUUGUAACUAAAAUCCUUCACCAAAUGGAAACUUACUGCCAGUAAUUUCUAGGCAGAUGUGAUUUUCCAAAAUCUGUUAUUUUACUUGGUAUUCUACCAGAAAUCUGGGCUGUCCUGUAUUUCCAUAUAUGAUUAAUAAUUUCAAUAAUAUUAAAACUUUGAGUUCUGUUACUUUGGUUUUUCCAUCAUUCUGUAUCUCUUAACUAUUGCCAUUGACUAAUAUGAAAAGGUAAUUACAGCAGAGCAGAAUUUUAGCUGAUGCUAAAAUAUACAGAUAUAUCAAGAAUAUUAAACAAUUGCCUUCCACUUUGUUCCAAAGUAACUGUAUAUAAUACUAUAUAACCUCUAUUAUAACUAAAUGUAUGUUUCAUAGUUGUGAGAAUUUUAAUAUAACUCAUUCUAAAGUCUACUGGUUCAGUUUGUGUGAUGGCUCAGCACUGCUAAUAAGAUUUAAAAAAAAAAGAACUUGUGCUGUCACACUUAGGAGGAAUUACAGUUUGUGAGCCAAGAAGUAGCUCUGUCAUGCAACAAAAGACUGUAAUUCAACACACCUGAAAAAGCUCAGCAGCUUUGAAAGUGUGCCUUUUAGGCAGAAAAGACACGUAAGACCAGCAGGAUUUCUUGCCGCAGAAAGGGGUUUAUUAGCAGCACUUCCCAUCUUCCUGAGCUGCUAGUAAUGUUCUCCCUAUUAUAUUUCAAAUGGGUAACAUGGCUAUGUAUAAAAUUCUUAGGUGGUAUCAUUCCAUUGGAAAAGUGGAUUUUCAGACAAAAGUAAACAAAACAGCAUAUUUAAUCAGGCCACUUAUAUUGACAAUGACUUUUGCUAACUUCACUAGUUUAUACAUUUAUCCUAUGAGACUAAUGAGCAAAAAAGCUACCUGUACAUGUUUCAUCUGGUAAUGCACUAGCAAACAAAGUUGGUGUAUCUAGUGAAUAAAUUGGAAACUUUUCCAGGGAAUGUAUCACUGCAGCUGCCAAAUCAGAAGCUCGCCCAGAUCCUGGCUCUUCAAUUAGUAAGAACCGUGGCCUGUAAGAUGUUGGUUGGUCAUGAGGAUUUCUACAGAAAUAAGUAGAAGGCAAGUUUAAAAAUGAGUGAUGAAUAGGAAAACAGACAUUAAAGUUUUUUCCUAUGCACUUUGUUUUGUACAUACUCUCCCUGUUCCACAAAAUAAUAAGCUGGUCCGUGAACAGGAAAACUACCAAAGCCUACUUUCUCACAAACUGGUACUCUGCUUCUGCUAGAAAUCCUGCCAGCCCCCAGUACAUCUGCUACUCUUUUGGCUGGGUUAAGUAACAGCUCUUACAUCCCACAGCGGGACUGUGCAGCCAAAUACCCACACAACAGUUCAGUUUGAUGGGUCAGGGCAGUGUACUCAGAACAAAACUAACCAGCUCAACCUUCAUACUUCUGUAUUUCAAAAUUCUCAUCAUCAGAAGAGGAAAGAGAAUUACUGCUGAGGACUCCAUAUCUCUGUCUGCAAAGAUUCAAACAAGUACAAAAUAAAAAUGCACUCUAUGUAAUACCAAAAUUUAAGUGAACACUAUCUAAGCAUUUACUUUGAAACCGACAAAGUUUUCAGAUCACUGGACAUUUAAACUGAUUUCAAAGUACAUUAUGUGAUUUUCCUUGUGACAGCAAUACUUAAUUUUUCUUACGGAGGUAAAAUGCAUCACUAGUGUGCAAAGAAAUUCUUUAGUCGAGUUACUCUUUUUGUCCAGUCUCUCUCUGUCAGACACACAAAUCGAGUUUCACUUAGCAUCAUGCAGCCACUCUGUGAAACAUCAACAUUUUAAACUUAUUUAAAAACUUUACUUCAAAACCCCUUCCUUCCAUAAUUGUCUGUUUUCAAUGAUACUAAACAAAGUUUUCCAGUCUAGCAAGGGAAUGCACUCUCCGUGCUCUGUUUAAAUUAUCUGACACCCCUUUGUAGAUACUAUUGCAAUUCAUAAAUUAGAUUUUCAUUUAAUAUUUUUCUGGUUUAAGGAUAGUUUCAUACAGAAACAUGAACUGAUUCCAAAAGACAUCAGAAUCAGGGUUUGAGCAAUUUUUAAAAAAAUCCAUUAAAACUUCCACGCAGGCUCUCCCUCUAACUAAAUUGUCUUUGGUUUUAAGAAAAUAACUUGCAUCUCUCAAGAUUAAACAGUCUAAGGUUUUCACAGGGAGAUUCUGGCUUCAGUUACAGAACAAAUUAAUUUCAGUUACACAAUCUUGGCCACAACCCUCAUCAUCACCUUAUCAAUGACCAUAAAUACUGCAUUUUCAAAUAAGUUCUGAUGGCUAAUAAAAAGAAUAGCCGACCACUGCCAGUGUUUGUUUUCUUUAUACUCUCAGACUACUACAGUAAUAAUAAUAAUAAUAAUCUUAUUUGCUACUAGUCCAAAACCCCUCAAAAGCAUUAUUGCAUCAUGUGAUAGCACUAUUGAGACAGAAAAACUGCCACUUAACCAUACACAAACCUUUUGUUCCCUUUGCAUGAAGACGAAGAUUGGACUGAAGAAUCUGUCUCACAUCUUCUAGGUUCUGUUGAAAGCAAAGAAUUUAGAACAAUGUCACAAACAAGUUUAAGAUAAAGUGGGAUACUCAAAGAGGCAUAAAACAGGAUGUGUAUCACCCAUCUCUAAGUUCAGGGGAAGUUUCAAUCAAUGCAUAGUAGAAGUGAAAAAACACACAUCUGAUUUUUAACGAGAACUGUAAAACACUUGAGUAAGAAUAUAAAGUCUCUUUAAUUACUAUUCUUUCAAGGCUAGAUAGGUCAUAUUUUUUACUGGAAAACAAUAAGGAUCCCAAAAAUUAAAAAUGCACAGGAUACAAACAUUUAAGAAAAGGUACUGGCAGAAUGAAGGUAAGAAAUUUAAAGUUGAGUGUGUGCAUGUAUUUCCAUUUAAAAAAUCUUGUUUCCAUGCAAGAAACUAGCUCCUAAGAAAAACUGUGCCUAAAACCUACUUUCAAAUGUAUCUUUAUAUCACUCAACAAAGCAAAGCUUUUUUCCUUUUGUUUCACUUACUUAUGAUGAAAUUACUGCACACAACAUUAAACUCUUUAAGUACUGCUGCAAAUAAUGAUAUAUUCAAAAUGCCCUACACUACAGGUAUUCCCGCCUGUCCACAGCCUUUUAGCAUGUAUUUUUUCUGGAAAAACACCAGGGUUUGGGACUUUUCUGUCUGAAAAUCCAUAAGCUCUUUACCAGUACUGCCCUAGAAUCUGUGGCCUUGGCUUCUAAUGUCAAGAGCAACACAGAUUUUUUUUUUAAUAGAUGAAAAAUACCUAGUAGUUAAGUCCAUCUCAAUUGCUUAAGAAAAAGCUUUUGGCUAGGGUAUAGUCAAGGAAAUUUAGAACAGAAGUAGCUUAGAAUGCUACCUGGAUUGUCCGCUGUUUCUUCACCAGUUGUUUCCAUAUCUAGACUUUUCUAAUUAAAAGAAACAGGAAAAAUCACACAAACAAGCAGAAAACCUGUGGGAAUAUCUGGUGCCUUUAUAGUAUCAAUUUCAAGGCACUCCAUACAUGCAAAAGAUUAAAUUAACACAGAGCAAGAGGGAAUAGAAACACCACUAUGGAACCCAGGAUUAAUAAAAGGAUUUCUACUCUAAAAUAAAGUUUAGUCGAUCUGAAACUUAAACACUUGGCCAGAUACAAAACCGACUGUAUCAAUUAGUCCCAGGUUAAUUAUCCAAGAGUGUGGUAAAACCCAGGACAAAGCAAUUCUAGCAGAAAAAAAAAAAAA